AGUGAACGCUGGCGGUAGGCCUAACACAUGCAAGUCGAACGGCAGCACAGUAAGAGCUUGCUCUUACGGGUGGCGAGUGGCGGACGGGUGAGGAAUACAUCGGAAUCUACUUUUUCGUGGGGGAUAACGUAGGGAAACUUACGCUAAUACCGCAUACGACCUACGGGUGAAAGCAGGGGAUCUUCGGACCUUGCGCGAUUGAAUGAGCCGAUGUCGGAUUAGCUAGUUGGCGGGGUAAAGGCCCACCAAGGCGACGAUACGUAGCUGGUCUGAGAGGAUGAUCAGCCACACUGGAACUGAGACACGGUCCAGACUCCUACGGGAGGCAGCAGUGGGGAAUCUUGGACAAUGGGCGAAAGCCUGAUCCAGCCAUACCGCGUGAGUGAAGAAGGUCUUCGGGUUGUAAAGCCCUUUUGUUGGGAAAGAAAAGCAGCAGGUUAAUACCCCGCUGUUCUGACGGUACCCAAAGAAUAAGCACCGGCUAACUUCGUG
rnacentral:rRNA from 1 species